CCCACAUUCUCUCUCUGUCGCUCUCACCAUCUCUCUCUGUCGCUCUCACCGUCUCUCUCUGUCACUCUCACUGUCUCUCUCUGCUGCUCUCACUGAUUCUCUGUCACUCUCACCAUCUCUCUCUGUCGCUCUCACCAUCUCUUUGUCACUCUCACCGUCUCUCUCUCUGUCGCUCUAGCCAUCUCUCUCUGUCACUCUCAGUAUCUCUCUCUGUAGCUCUCACCGUCUCUGUCUGUCACUCUCACCAUCUCUCUCUGUCACUGUCUCUGUCUAUCACUCUCACCGUCUCUCUCUGUCACUCUCACCAUCUCUCUCUGUCGCUCUCACCGAUUCUCUGUCACUCUCACCAUCUCUCUCUGUCGCUCUCACCAUCUCUCUCUGUCUCUCUCUGUCGCUCUCACCGUCUCUCUGUCACUCUCACCGUCUCUCUCUGUGUCGCUCUAACCAUCUCUCUUUGUCACUCUCAGUAUCUCUCUCUGUAGCUCUCACCGUCUCUGUCUGUCACUCUCACUGUCUCUGUCUGUCACUCUCACCAUCUCUCUCUGUCACUCUCACCGUCUCGCUCUGUCGCUCUCAGCAUCUCUCUCUGUCGCUCUAACCAUCUGUCUCUGUCACUCUAACCAUCUGUCUCUGUCACUGUCACUCUCACAGUCUCUCUCUGUCACUCCCACUAUCUCUCUCUGUCACUCUCACCAUCUCUCUCUCUCUGUCACUCUCACCAUCUCUUUCUGUCACUCUCACAGUCUCUCUCUGUCGCUCUCACCAUCUCUCUCUGUCACUCUCACCAGGGCCAGAUUAAGAUCCCAUUGGGCCCUGUGCUUAC